rnacentral:misc_RNA from 1 species
GAACUGCGAUAAGUAAUGUGAAUUGCAGAAUUCAGUGAAUCAUCGAGUCUUUGAACGCACAUUUCGCCCCCUGGCAUUCCGGGGGGCAUGCCUGUCCGAGCGUCAUUGCUGCCCUUCAAGCCCGGCUUGUGUGUUGGGUCGUCGUCCCCCUCGGGGGACGGGCCCGAAAGGCAGCGGCGGCACCGUGUCCGGUCCUCGAGCGUAUGGGGCUUUGUCACCCGCUCGAUUAGGGCCGGCCGGGCGCCAGCCGGCGUCUCCAACCUUAUUUUUCUCAGGUUGACCUCGGAUCAGGUAGGGAUACCCGCUGAACUUAAGC